AUGAUUAUGUGCACUAGAAACUAUCAUUAAUAAUACUGUUAUCCACAGAGAAGAUUAGUAUGGCCUCUGUGCAAGGAUGACACGCAAAUUCGUGAAGCGUUCCAUAUUUAA